rnacentral:rRNA from 1 species
CCUACGGGAGGCAGCAGUGAGGAAUAUUGGUCAAUGGACGCAAGUCUGAACCAGCCAUGCCGCGUGCAGGAAGACGGCUCUAUGAGUUGUAAACUGCUUUUGUACGAGGGUAAACGCAGAUACGCGUAUCUGUCUGCAAGUAUCGUACGAAUAAGGAUCGGCUAAUUCCGUGCCAGCAGCCGCGGUAAUACGGAGGAUUCAAGCGUUAUCCGGAUUUAUUGGGUUUAAAGGGUGCGUAGGCGGUCGGUUAAGUUAGAGGUGAAAUCCCGAGGCUCAACUUCGGAAUUGCCUCGGAUACUGUUCGGCUAGAGAGUGGUGACGGUAGGCGGAAUGUAUGGUGUAGCGGUGAAAUGCUUAGAGAUCAUACAGAACACCGAUUGCGAAGGCAGCUUACCAAGCUACUUCUGACGUUGAGGCACGAAAGCGUGGGGAGCAAACAGGAUUAGAUACCCCUGUAGUC